rnacentral:rRNA from 1 species
CUUGGAGGAUGUAAGCAUUAGCUUUAUAAUGCUAAACGACUCUGUCGUUUGAAGUUCUAGAUAGAAGAAUGAUAAUGACAAUUUUCUAUCUAUGUGUCUUGACCAAAUCUUGUGCCAGCAGUCGCGGCAAGACAAGUAAGACUAGUGUUAUUCAUCUUUAAUAGGUUUAAAGGGUACCUAGACGGUAAAUCUAGCCCCAAAAGGGUACGGAUAUACUAGAGUUUUAUCUGGGAGGUAUAUAUUAGUACUAAUGGUGGAGAGAUGAAAUUCUUUGAUACUAUUGGGACUGGUGGAGGCGAAAGCAACCCUCUAUUUAUAAACUGACGUUGAGGGACGAAGGCUUGGGUAACGAAUAGGAUUAGAUACCCUAGUAGUCCAGGCAGAGAAUUAUGAAUGCCAUAGACUAGUUUUUAAUGGUAUGAGGUAAAAAAAAAAGAUUUCUUUUUCUUUCAUACUGUUUUAAUACAAUAAGCUAGUAUAUAAAUUAAAGUGUAAGCAUUCCACCUCAAGAGUAAUGUGGCAACGCAAAAACUGAAAUCAUUAGACCGUUUCUGAAACCAGUAGUGAAGUAUGUUAUUUAAUUCGAUAAUCCUCGAAAAACCUUACCACAAUUUGAAUGUUAAUUUUUAUUAAUUAAUACAAGCGUUGCACGGCUGUUUUCAGUUAAUGUCGUGAGAUUUGGUUAGAUCCAUUAAAUUAACGUAAGCCCUUGCUUUAUUUAUAAAUAAAGUAGUUCACCGCUAGAUUGGAUUUGAUAAAAGGGACUAAGACAAGUCAUCAUGGCCUUAAUAUUGUGGG